rnacentral:rRNA from 1 species
UUGAACGCUGGCGGCAGGCCUAACACAUGCAAGACGAACGGUAACAGGAAGCAGCUUGCUGUUUCGCUGACGAGUGGCGGACGGGUGAGUAAUGUCUGGGAAACUGCCUGAUGGAGGGGGAUAACUACUGGAAACGGUAGCUAAUACCGCAUAACGUCGCAAGACCAAAGAGGGGGACCUUCGGGCCUCUUGCCAUCGGAUGUGCCCAGAUGGGAUUAGCUAGUAGGUGGGGUAACGGCUCACCUAGGCGACGAUCCCUAGCUGGUCUGAGAGGAUGACCAGCCACACUGGAACUGAGACACGGUCCAGACUCCUACGGGAGGCAGCAGUGGGGAAUAUUGCACAAUGGGCGCAAGCCUGAUGCAGCCAUGCCGCGUGUAUGAAGAAGGCCUUCGGGUUGUAAAGUACUUUCAGCGGGGAGGAAGGGAGUAAAGUUAAUACCUUUGCUCAUUGACGUUACCCGCAGAAGAAGCACCGGCUAACUCCGUGCCAGCAGCCGCGGUAAUACGGAGGGUGCAAGCGUUAAUCGGAAUUACUGGGCGUAAAGCGCACGCAGGCGGUUUGUUAAGUCAGAUGUGAAAUCCCCGGGCUCAACCUGGGAACUGCAUCUGAUACUGGCAAGCUUGAGUCUCGUAGAGGGGGGUAGAAUUCCAGGUGUAGCGGUGAAAUGCGUAGAGAUCUGGAGGAAUACCGGUGGCGAAGGCGGCCCCCUGGACGAAGACUGACGCUCAGGUGCGAAAGCGUGGGGAGCAAACAGGAUUAGAUACCCUGGUAGUCCACGCCGUAAACGAUGUCGACUUGGAGGUUGUGCCCUUGAGGCGUGGCUUCCGGAGCUAACGCGUUAAGUCGACCGCCUGGGGAGUACGGCCGCAAGGUUAAAACUCAAAUGAAUUGACGGGGGCCCGCACAAGCGGUGGAGCAUGUGGUUUAAUUCGAUGCAACGCGAAGAACCUUACCUGGUCUUGACAUCCACGGAAGUUUUCAGAGAUGAGAAUGUGCCUUCGGGAACCGUGAGACAGGUGCUGCAUGGCUGUCGUCAGCUCGUGUUGUGAAAUGUUGGGUUAAGUCCCGCAACGAGCGCAACCCUUAUCCUUUGUUGCCAGCGGUCCGGCCGGGAACUCAAAGGAGACUGCCAGUGAUAAACUGGAGGAAGGUGAGGAUGACGUCAAGUCAUCAUGGCCCUUACGACCAGGGCUACACACGUGCUACAAUGGCGCAUACAAAGAGAAGCGACCUCGCGAGAGCAAGCGGACCUCAUAAAGUGCGUCGUAGUCCGGAUUGGAGUCUGCAACUCGACUCCAUGAAGUCGGAAUCGCUAGUAAUCGUGGAUCAGAAUGCCACGGUGAAUACGUUCCCGGGCCUUGUACACACCGCCCGUCACACCAUGGGAGUGGGUUGCAAAAGAAGUAGGUAGCUUAACCUUCGGGAGGGCGCUUACCACUUUGUGAUUCAUGACUGGGGUG